UUGGCCUUGACAUACUAAGAACUUUCCAGUAGAUGGAUUGGUGCCUUCGGGAACUUAGAUACAGGUGCUGCAUGGCUGUCGUCAGCUCGUGUCGUGAGAUGUUGGGUUAAGUCCGCAACGAGCGCAACCCUUUUCCUUAUUUGCCAGCGGGUAAUGCCGGGAACUUUAAGGAUACUGCCAGUGACAAACUGGAGGAAGGCGGGGACGACGUCAAGUCAUCAUGGCCCUUACGGCCAGGGCUACACACGUGCUACAAUGGUCGGUACAAAGGGUUGCUACCUCGCGAGAGGAUGCUAAUCUCAAAAAGCCGAUCGUAGUCCGGAUCGCAGUCUGCAACUCGACUGCGUGAAGUCGGAAUCGCUAGUAAUCGCGGAUCAGAAUGCCGCGGUGAAUACGUUCCCGGGCCUUGUACACACCGCCCGUCACACCAUGGGAGUUUGUUGCACCAGAAGUAGGUAGUCUAACCGCAAGGAGGACGCUUACCACGGUGUGGCCGAUGACUGGGGUGAAGUCGUAACAAGGUAGGCGUAGAUGA
rnacentral:rRNA from 1 species